rnacentral:rRNA from 1 species
AACGAACGCUGGCGGCAGGCUUAACACAUGCAAGUCGAGCGCCCCGCAAGGGGAGCGGCAGACGGGUGAGUAACGCGUGGGAACGUACCCUUUGCUACGGAAUAGCUCCGGGAAACUGGAAUUAAUACCGUAUGUGCCCUACGGGAGAAAGAUUUAUCGGCAAAGGAUCGGCCCGCGUUGGAUUAGCUAGUUGGUGGGGUAAUGGCCUACCAAGGCGACGAUCCAUAGCUGGUCGGAGAGGAUGAUCAGCCACAUUGGGACUGAGACACGGCCCAAACUCCUACGGGAGGCAGCAGUGGGGAAUAUUGGACAAUGGGCGCAAGCCUGAUCCAGCCAUGCCGCGUGAGUGAUGAAGGCCUUAGGGUUGUAAGCUCUUUCACCGGAGAAGAUAAUGACGGUAUCCGGAGAAGAAGCCCCGGCUAACUUCGUGCCAGCCGCCGCCGUAACAC